AGUAAUCGAACUCCAGAGCCUGGGAAGGAACUUGAACUCCAUUAACCAAUAGGUUAAAGCGUUGAAUUUUAAAAUGUUCAAAUUGAAAUGGGUCUAAGGCUCGGUUUCCUGAGUAUGAGCUGUUUUUAACCAUACAAAAGGCCAGAAAAUUUGGUAUUUGACCAAUAACUGCGUUGUAGAGCUGGAAAUAACAUCGGCGAUGUAUCGAUACAUCAAUGUUUUCCAAAACUCGGGAAACAUCGAGGUUUUCAAACAUCGAUGUUCCAUCACUGCUUGGCAGAAAAGAAUCUUGAUCUCGACAAAUAUUGGUGUUGUUGGCGCUUCGAUAUGGAGAAGAUCGCCAACACCAGAAUCCACAGCAGAGUCAGACCUAUUAUUCAGUUUUUUACAAACUAAUCAAACUCAAAAAAUUCAUAGCGGUCACACGGAUUCCAUAUUGGCUUUGCAACAAUACUUGAAUGCGAGUAAUUUGAACCCUGCCCAAAACCCUUUGGAUUAUUGGAAGAUAUUAAAUGACGCCGGAUUCAAAACAUGCGUUUUUAAAUACUUCUGCGUACCGGCCACCUCUACUAAAAGUGAGAGGAUGUUCAGUAAAGCUGGACUAGUUGUAAGCGAGAAGAGAAUAUGAUUUCAUUCCUAAACAAAAAUGAUUGGAUAAUUUAGUUUUUUUUUUUUAAUUUUUUUGAGUAGAACUUUAUACUGUUUUUUUAAUUUGUUUUUAAUU